AGAGCUUCCUCCAAGGUCUCAGCAGGAUACCAAGCUUGCUUAAACAUAUGUACGAGGAUUAAGUGCCGGUUAAUUGGGCAAUUUAGAGGCUGUGACUAGAGCCUCGUGGAACAUAAUCUUGGUGCCCUGAACAGACAGAAGGCAAAUUUGCUCAAAGAUCCCUUAUAGUGCCAGUGCUCCUCCAGGUAAAAAAUGCCAAAGCAGGACUGAACACAAAGUCAUUUGCUGGAACAUUUAAUAAGGAGCAAAGAGAAAAGGAGUGAAUCAAAGGGAAAUUGCUGAUUAAUACCAAAGUGUAUGCAUAAAAAUAUAUGUGUAUGACUCAUCCACAAGAGAAAGAGAGACUCCAGAUAAAUUCAACUUGCUCCUGAAAAAGUGAAAAGUAGAAGGACUGUCUUGGAA
rnacentral:lncRNA from 1 species